AGAAAGUUAGUCUAAUGCAAGACAGCCGACUUCGACUCGGCAAAUUACAGCAACUACUGUAACUUUCUC
rnacentral:tRNA from 1 species